GCUGCAGCCCAAUGGCCAGGCAUUUGCUGUGCAUGCAGAAGGUCCCAGGUUCAAUCCCUGGUAUCUGCA